rnacentral:rRNA from 1 species
GUGCCAGCCGCCGCGGUAAUACGUAGGUGGCAAGCGUUGUCCGGAAUUAUUGGGCGUAAAGGAUGCGUAGGUGGUCUUUUAAGUGAGAUGUGAAAUCCCUGGGCUUAACCCAGGAACUGCAUUUCAAACUGGAAGACUAGAGUGCAGGAGAGGAAAGUGGAAUUCCUAGUGUAGCGGUGAAAUGCGUAGAGAUUAGGAGGAACACCAGUGGCGAAGGCGACUUUCUGGACUGUAACUGACACUGAGGCAUGAAAGCGUGGGGAGCAAACAGGAUUAGAUACCCUGGUAGUCCACGCCGUAAACGAUGAGUACUAGGUGUAGGGGGUCGAACCUCUGUGCCGCAGUUAACACAUUAAGUACUCCGCCUGGGAAGUACGAUCGCAAGAUUAAA